rnacentral:rRNA from 1 species
GACGAACGCUGGCGGCGUGCUUAACACAUGCAAGUCGAGCGGUAAGGCCCUUUCGGGGGUACACGAGCGGCGAACGGGUGAGUAACACGUGGGUGACCUGCCCUCAGCUCUGGGAUAAGCCUGGGAAACGUGGGUCUAAUACUGGAUAUGACUCCACGGUGCAUGUCGUGGGGUGGAAAGCCUUGUGCGGCUGAGGAUGGGCCCGCGGCCUAUCAGCUUGUUGGUGGGGUGANGGCCUACCAAGGCGACGACGGGUAGCCGGCCUGAGAGGCGACCGGCCACACUGGGACUGAGACACGGCCCAGACUCCUACGGGAGGCAGCAGUGGGGAAUCUUGCGCAAUGGGCGAAAGCCUGACGCAGCGACGCCGCGUGAGGGAUGACGGCCGUCGGGUUGUAAACCUCUUUCAGCUCCGACGAAGCGGAAGUGACGGUAGGAGCAGAAGAAGCACCGGCCAACUACGUGCC